AUGCCGUGAACCUCGUGCAGCUCCUCUGUGUAAACACAUUUUGCUUUGUGCUGCCUGAAUAUGGAGCCAGGAGAGAAAACACUCUUCCCUGCCUGGCAGGGCCGUGCCAGGAAGCUCCUGUUGGAUCAGCCGCUGCCAACACCUGGACCAGGGGACGGCUCCGGUGAGGAUGCAGAGGAGGUGCUGCCUGGAUGGGAUGUACCUGCACACGCUGCCUGGCUGCAGAGCAGGAGUCUGAUGUCCCCAUCGCACCCCUGUGUCCUGCCUGCAGCUCACUGUCCGGAUUCAGGAGCAGUCUGAGGUGACCUGAAGAGUCCCCACUAGUGGCUUCUUUCCAGUUUCAAAAUUCCAUCAGAAAUCCAUUACCAAAUGCAUAAAAAUCCAUGGAUUUAUAAUAGAAAGAGGCUCUUAAAGCUCAGAAAACACAGUCUGGAUGUCUCAAUAAAUCCUGAUGCAAAUGAUUAAAAAAGAAAGCAGAGCAAGA